rnacentral:rRNA from 1 species
UACGAAGGGGGCUAGCGUUGUUCGGAAUUACUGGGCGUAAAGGGCGCGUAGGCGGUCUUGUAAGUCAGAUGUGAAAGCCCCGGGCUCAACCCGGGAAUAGCAUUUGAUACUGCGAGGCUUGAGUCCGGGAGAGGAUGGCGGAAUUCCCAGUGUAGAGGUGAAAUUCGUAGAUAUUGGGAAGAACACCGGUGGCGAAGGCGGCCAUCUGGACCGGUACUGACGCUGAGGCGCGAAAGCGUGGGGAGCAAACAGGAUUAGAUACCCUGGUAGUCCACGCCGUAAACGAUGAGUGCUAGACGCUGGGGGGUUAACCCUUCGGUGUCGCAGCUAACGCAUUAAGCACUCCGCCUGGGGAGUACGGCCGCAAGGUUGAA